rnacentral:piRNA from 1 species
UGAUGUGGUGCAUGGGGGUGUGAGA